rnacentral:rRNA from 1 species
UACGUAGGGGGCAAGCGUUGUCCGGAUUUAUUGGGCGUAAAGAGCGUGUAGGCGGCCUGGAAGGUCAGCUGUGAAAACUCGAGGCUCAACCUCGAGACGUCGGUUGAAACCACCUGGCGUAGAGUCCGGAAGAGGAGAGUGGAAUUCCGUGGUGUAGCGGUGAAAUGCGCAGAUAUCAGGAGGAACACCUAUGCGAAGGCAGCUCGCUGGGACGGUAACUGACGCCUGAGACGACGAAGCGUGGGGAGCAAACAGG